UACAGGGGUGCAAGCGUUGUUCGGAAUUAUUGGGCGUAAAGCGCGUGGAGGCGGCUUUGCAAGUCGGGUGUGAAAGCCCUCAGCUCAACUGAGGAAGUGCGCCCGAAACUGCAGAGCUUGAGUGCCGGAGAGGGUGGCGGAAUUCCCCAAGUAGAGGUGAAAUUCGUAGAUAUGGGGAGGAACACCGGUGGCGAAGGCGCCCACCUGGACGGCAACUGACGCUGAGACGCGAAAGCGUGGGGAGCAAACAGG
rnacentral:rRNA from 1 species